rnacentral:tRNA from 1 species
UCUCUGGCUCAGUUGGUUAGAGCGCUGCACCGGAAUCGCAGGGCCGUAGGUUCAAUUCCUACCAGAGAA